CACGUAGGGCGCGAGCGUUGUCCGGAAUUAUUGGGCGUAAAGAGCUCGUAGGCGGCCUGUUGCGUCCGCUGUGAAAGCCCUGGGCUCAACCUGGGAAUUGCAUUGGAUACUGGCAGGCUAGAGUGCGGUAGAGGAUGGCGGAAUUCCCGGUGUAGCAGUGAAAUGCGUAGAGAUCGGGAGGAACACCAGAGGCGAAGGCGGCCGGCUGGACCUGACCUGACGCUGAGGCACGAAGGCGUGGGGAGCGAACGGG
rnacentral:rRNA from 1 species